AAUCAACGCUGGCGGCGCGCCUAACACAUGCAAGUCGCACGAGAAACUUCGUAGCAAUACGGGGGCGGUAAAGUGGCGAACGGGUGAGUAAUGCAUGGGUGACCUGUCCUCAAGAUGGGAAUAACCCUCGCGAAAGCGGGGCUAAUACCAAAUGCCAUUCCGGUCUUACGGGAUCUGGAUGAAAGGUAGCUGUUACAGGCUGUUACUUGAGGAAGGGCCCAUGUCCCANCAGCUAGUUGGUAGGGUAACGGCCUACCAAGGCUACGACGGGUAGCUGGUCUGAGAGGACGACCAGCCACACUGGCACUGAGACACGGGCCAGACUCCUACGGGAGGCAGCAGUGAGGAAUCUUGCGCAAUGGACGAAAGUCUGACGCAGCGACGCCGCGUGGGGGAUGAAGGC
rnacentral:rRNA from 1 species